rnacentral:rRNA from 1 species
UAGGGAAUAUUGCGCAAUGAGCGAAAGCUUGACGCAGCCAUGCCGCGUGAGUGAUGAAGGCCUUCGGGUCGUAAAGCUCUUUUCUGAGGGAAGAAUGGUCGAUGCAGGCAAUGGCAUCGAAUUGACGGUACCUCAGGAAUAAGGAACGGCUAACUCCGUGCCAGCAGCCGCGGUAAUACGGAGGUUCCAAGCGUUGUUCGGAAUUACUGGGCGUAAAGGGUGCGUAGGCGGUCGGGUAAGUUUGAUGUGAAAGCUCCAAGCUUAACUUGGAAACGGCAUUGAAUACUAUCCGGCUCGAGGGUUGGAGGGGGGACUGGAAUUCCCGGUGUAGCAGUGAAAUGCGUAGAUAUCGGGAGGAACACCAGUGGCGAAGGCGAGUCCCUGGACAACACCUGACGCUGAGGCACGAAAGCUAGGGGAGCAAACA